GUCGCCGGGGGCCGCGCCACCGGAAGCUGCGUCGUUGGAGCCCCGACAAGCAAGUGCAAAUGGAGGUUCCCCGAUUUCUGAGUGAGAUUUUCCCCGAAAAGCAAGCUGAUCUUUCAUAGAUUCCUGAUGGGUAAGAUUUCUACCAUUUGUUCUAGGGUUAGGGCUAAAUGUGCUCGAUUCUGCUCCCUUUUGUAGUCGUGUUAUUUUUUUAUUGGCAAAAUUUGCUGCUUGGUAUGUAGGAUGGAUCCCAAUUCGUCCUACAAGCUAGCUGCUCGAGUAGGUGCUUAUGUAAAAUUUACUGAUGAUGAUGGUCGCCAAUAUUGUGAGGCAUGCAACAUUCCUAAGAUUCUAGACAGAGAUAGCACAAAUUAGAAUGAUUUGCUGCUUGAUAUUAGUGCAGAAAUUAAGCUUGGCUCUAAACACAAAUUGCGUGUCACAUAUUGGGAUAAUAUGAGCCGUAGUUAUGAAGAGAUCAAUUCUGACCAGAAAUUGCUUCAUGCUAUUGACAUGUAUUAGGAGUCAAGAAGGCUAUCCGUACAAGUUUGUGUUCUGAGAAAGGAUGAAUCAGAUGCUGUGCAUGAUGUUGGAUGGCUGGAGAGCAUGACUUGUUUGUUGCAAGGAAGCGCUGACAUCAUGUGCUGCUGAUCCACCACAAGAACAACCAUCACCUGUUGAACCAUUUGCUACACCAAAUAGACUUAUCCCUUCUGUUUCCACAUCAAGCCCUGUGACAAGAAGUAUGUCAAAAAGGUUGCAGCUAGAGCCAUCCACGCCAAGUACAACCAUCUCUCCUGUUCAAACACCUAGUCCGAUGACAAGGGGCCGCAAGAGGAUGCUGGAAUAUGAAGGCUCCAUACAGCCCAUUACCUGCUCAGCUCUAUCUCCAAUGUAUGUCGAUGAGAAGGGAAAGGCGAAAAAGCUAAAAGUAGUUAGGUCCAAGAAAAUGGAAAUGUAGGUUAUGUAGUAUUUUGUUGUAGGUCUAAUGUGGGCACUUGCUAGUAUCAGGAUAGCCAGAUGUGGCUCAAACAUUUCUUUUGGUUUGCUGGACCUCUAAGUUCUUUUUCUUUUACCAUGCUGUGUUCUAAGGGCAAAUUCUAUAACCCAAUGUGGCUAAACCUGCUAUUUUGUAUUUGUGAACUACAUGCUCAAAUGUCCAUUGAAAAUCUGUUAUAUUAGCCCUUUUAUAUUGCUCAAA